ensembl:lncRNA
UAUAUAUAAUAUAUAUAUAUAAUAAAAUUAUGUAGUAUAGUAUAAAAGUUAUGAAAUACAUUUAUGUCAUAGUUGCAUUUCAUCCCCUCUGUUACUCGCCUCAUUUCCUGUCCGUCUCUUCUCCACCUGAUAAAAGGUAAAAAGCGUCAUUUUAAAGCUCACAAUCGGACCUCGGACCAGAGGCUCUGUCCUAUCGCUGAAGCUCUGCCUCCGCCCUCCAGGCUUCUUUUUUCCUGUGUCAAUGAGUCAGUUGUGUCGGAAGCUUGUUCUGUUUGUGUAUCUGAAUUCCCAGCUGGCUCUGAAGUAUCAACUCCACAAAGCCAAACAGAGGAAACGGCCUGAGGGGUCACAACCUUUCAGCCGGCUGGGGUUCACGUCCAGUCGUAAGGUCGCGGACAGGCGAGGAGAGAUUCGCUGUUUCUCACAGGAGGCAAAAAGUCUUCACCUGCCUUGUUAUCUACGGAUGAAUUAAUAUCAUCCGUUCAUCUAUAAAACCAUGACAUUCAAACAAUCGUGCUGUUUUUAUUCAACGUUUCUUAACAGAAUAAAUAUGUAUGUUAUGCCUUAUUUUACGUUGAAAUGUUGUUGCUUUUUCUCUUUGUUCUCCUCAAUUAUCAAAUUAUCUGACAAUAUUUUUAAUAAGCAAAACUUCAACUGCUCAAAUCAUUAAUCCAUUGCUGAAUACAGCAAACAUUCAUUCAUCACAAUAAAUAGAGACUAUUCACUUGUUACAUAAAUCCCAUUAUCGGCUUCUUUGUUUCUCCAUGAAGACGUCUUCAAAAGGCUCAAUGAAGCGCUGCUUUUUUGAUUGUAUUGCAUCUGUUGGUUGAAGGUGUUUAAAACCCGUCUCCAGAUGGGCAUCGCCAUGGUUACCACCACGCUGAGGAUUACCCGCAGACGGUCUUGCCGCUGAACUUGACGUCUCCGGGCCGAUGUUUGACACUAAAAUAUCAUGUUUCUCAAACAGCAGCGACGCUCGGCGUGGCCGAUGACACAUUCAAUGAUGCUUGGGUUUCAGCUCUUCAACCCCCUCCCAUCGUCAGAGUUUGGACCUCCUCAGUGGGAAGCGGGCCCCCGGGAGCCAUUUAUAUACCGACCCCCAAACAGCGCAACCUUUCUCCUGCACUUCUCUGCCAAGUGUUAAAAGAGAGCUCUUUUAAAACGGCACUGCCAUGUGUAGCACACCCCAGAGCUUUAAAUGAACUUCCCGGUCGGGGGGGCGGGGUUGGUUUUCUCCUCCUACACUCUAAAGCACUCAGAAACCAGGCGAGAUGCCUGCUGACAGGUCGGCCAUCUUUGAAGACUUUGCUGUGGCGGUGUGUGGCUGUUUGGUUUGUGGGUGUUAUGUGUGCUAAACAGCUGUAUGCAGAUGUUACAGAAAUUACCAUAAUGCCCCCAUUACUUGUAACUAUGCAGAACACAUCCCGUGGAACUGUGCAAGGUUUGGAACACUCCCCAGGCCCGCACCCACGUUCCCUACUUGAUUGUCUCUUAGCAUUUGGGAUGUGUCCUUCCCCGAUUCGUCACACUAUCACGUGACUGUGUGUGUCGUAUCUUCCCGUUUACACCGCCUCGCUCCUGCCCAGUGUAAGUCAAUGGCCAUGUGAUAUACGCUUGUGGAGAUUGCCAUGUGGAUGCAGAUUAACUGGAACGAUGCUAAAACACUCAAGUGGACCAAUGUCGUUUUCCUUUUACUACUCCGUUUUUAGUUUUAGUAAAUAUCGAGGUUGACGGCCUCACAGGUGAUGUCUGUCACUCUGUGAUUAGACCUGGUUGAAGGCCUCACAGGUGAUCUCUGUCACUC